rnacentral:tRNA from 1 species
CGCGGGGUGGAGCAGUGGUAGCUCGUUGGGCUCAUAACCCAAAGGUCAUUGGUUCGAAUCCUUUCCCCGCAA